CAUCGGUAGCCAGUGGAAAAUCCGAAAAGGUGUCCUAUUGGCGAUUCCUGUAAUUUUGCAAACUCGUUUAUAGGAAAUCAUUUGAUUCAGACUUGAGAGUCAAAGCGUGUGAAGGAAAGCUACAAUAAGUUGGGCUAUCACUGUUGUCAGAAAUAGUUGCUUAGUUAAUAAGCUUCUGCUAAGAUAUAACCUGGCUUUCAUUAAGAAAAAUGGAGCAGUCAGAAACAGUUCUAGACAAAGAUGCAAAAGUUGGGAGAUUGCUUGAGGAAAGACGGGAGGAAAGAAAAGAGAAAAUGCCGGUGAAAAUAAGUCGUAUUAAAUUUAUAAAGCCAAAUGACGCUACAACAAGUACAGUAAAACACAAAAUACCCAACACAAAUAAAAAAAUUUCAGCAGGGAUAGGCUACACAAUAUGCACAAUAUGAAGUGAAAA